GAUUUCUUCUUGUUUCCUUGUAGUAUCAAUAUUGCCUGAGAAAAGCCAUUUCAAUGUAGAUAACAUCAGAGUGAUUAAAAUAUUGGGUUCUGGCAUCCAUAACUCAUUAGUAAUGCAGGGCAUGGUAUUCAAGAGACUAGUGGAAGGUGAUAUCACCAGUGCUAAAAAUGCUAAAGUAGUUGUUUAUUCAUGUCCUUUGGAUCUCAUGCAGAC